GGGGGGGGGGGGGGGGGGGGCGGGGGGGGGGGGGGGGGGGGGAGGGGGGGGGGGCUGGGGCGGCGGGGGGUAGGGGGGGGCGGGGGGGGAACGCGGGGGGAACCGACCUAUGAGAGGGGGAUAGCUUCGGGAAACCGGAGCUAAUCCCGGGUACUUUAUUGAACCGCAUGGGUCAAUAGGGAAAGGCGGGUUUGCUUGCACGUAUAAAUUGAUCCGCGCCGCAUUAGAUCUUUGUUAAGGUAACGGCUUCCCAAGGCGAACAUGCGAAGCCGACCUGAGAGGGUGAUCGGCCACACUGGAACGGAGACACGGUCCAGACUCCGACGGGAGGCAGCAGUAGGGAAUCGUCCGCAAUGGGCGAAAGCCUGACGGAGCAACGCCGAGUGAGUGAUGAAGGUCUUCGGAUCGUAAAACUCUGUUAUUAGGGAAGAACAAAUGUGUAAGUAACUAUGCACGUCUUGACGGUACCUAAUCAGAAAGCCACGGCUAACUACGUG
rnacentral:rRNA from 1 species